GCGGAGGUGCCCGAGCCAGGUCAAAGGGGCAAGGUUCAGGCCCUUGUGCGUUUAGCGCUUCGUGGGUUCAAAUCCCACCCUCCGCA
rnacentral:tRNA from 2 species